ACUGGAUCUGUAAUCAACGAAGAGAUGAGCUGUUGGAGGAUUUUAUUAAGCAGGUUAUUUGAAGGGGGAUGGUCCACCGUGAGCGUGGGUGAUACUGUUCUGUGGCAGUCCAAAUAAAAGGGGGCCACAAUGGGAAUCCCUCAGCCCGUGCGAUGGUGUCACUCAAAUGCAGGGUCAUUCUUUCUCCUUAGUGAAUUCCCUCUGAAAAGGCCUCUGAGACACAUCUAGAGUUUUGCCUUGCCAUCUACGAGGGGAUUCCAGGAAUUUUGAACUUCUGUUCCUGUGUAAAAAUACAGGAGCUCUCAUGGCCACUGUCGGUUUUGCUGUAGACAUUCGCAAGGAAGCAAUUCUCUGGACAUUACUACUUUACCCAUGUUUGGGGUUACUCAUAACUAACCUCUGUAUUCUUUCGGUCCACUGUUCAUCCAUCCAUCCAUCCAUC